rnacentral:sRNA from 1 species
UGGUAGAUGCACCCUGAUUCCAAAAUCCUGCGGCUUUGGUCGCGGGAUUUUUUUU